GCAAAAGUAAAGUACAUAGCUUCUUAUUAUUCUACCCUUUGGAGCAGCUUUUCAGAUGUCAGUAAUCUGACCAAGAAAAGUUAAUGUGAGAUCAAGAACGAAGGAGGGCAAAAACUGCACAAAAGAAACAAACCACUGCUCUUGAAAUAUAAUACCAGUGGAAAAAAACAAACAAACAAAAAACAAACAAAACCUCAAGACAAAAACUGGCCUAACAAUGCAAACUAGAACUUAAAUAAGAUCUUACCACACCUCUGCAGCCACCCAUAUCCAGUGUGUAUCCUGGAAAGACUUAUGACUAACCAAAGAGAGGAGAGACCAUGAAAAGAGUCAGUCAUGGAUUUUUAAUUUCAUUCUACUUCUUUGAAAUAAAGAAAGUUGAAAAGAGGGCGCUUCUUUUUCUGCCAAAGAUCUGGAAACACUUUGUCCCUGGAUGGACUUUCAGCCAAAUGAGGAUCUCCAUAGGAAUGGAAGAAAUCACACGCUCUGCUCCAGGAUCCUACAUUUGCCAGUCUUCAUGAAAAGUGAAAAUGGGCUGAUUCUGAUGGCAGCGAUCUUUGACUAC
rnacentral:lncRNA from 1 species